UUGGGCACCUGCAGGUCUCAGACAGCGGCUCCUCCUCCUUUAGGCGGAGUCCGGUUGCCCCUCCCUGGCUGACCACCUGUGAGCAAUCGUGCCAGCGGUAUAUCAGACCUGCGCUCUCAACCACUCAUCGCCUGAGUAUCUGCUAUUCCCAUCGAUAGCACCCGGAGUGGAGAUCUUGUUCCCCUCGCUCCCGUCCUCCUGGACCUGGGCCGCCAGCUGCUUACACAACGUGGCCUGCCGGCCCACCGCUCACCUGCCUGCCUCCCCACGCCUCGACCGCUUCCGGGUUUUCCGCUCCACCUGUCCCCUCCAUCUGAAACCAAUGCCCCCGGCCCCUACCUAGUCCUGUUUCUACCUCCCCGCUGUCCCCGCUGCUCAGCCGUCUCCUAGAGGUGUCUAGGUCGCCCUCAUUAUCACCGACGAGUCCUACGCGCCACUAGUGUGGUGGCGUCGC